rnacentral:rRNA from 1 species
GAUGAACGCUGGCGGCGUGCCUAAUACAUGCAAGUCGAGCGAACGGACGAGAAGCUUGCUUCUCUGAUGUUAGCGGCGGACGGGUGAGUAACACGUGGAUAACCUACCUAUAAGACUGGGAUAACUUCGGGAAACCGGAGCUAAUACCGGAUAAUAUUUUGAACCGCAUGGUUCAAAAGUGAAAGACGGUCUUGCUGUCACUUAUAGAUGGAUCCGCGCUGCAUUAGCUAGUUGGUAAGGUAACGGCUUACCAAGGCAACGAUGCAUAGCCGACCUGAGAGGGUGAUCGGCCACACUGGAACUGAGACACGGUCCAGACUCCUACGGGAGGCAGCAGUAGGGAAUCUUCCCCAAUGGGCGAAAGCCUGACGGAGCAACGCCGCGUGAGUGAUGAAGGUCUUCGGAUCGUAAAACUCUGUUAUUAGGGAAGAACAUAUGUGUAAGUAACUGUGCACAUCUUGACGGUACCUAAUCAGAAAGCCACGGCUAACUACGUGCCAGCAGCCGCGGUAAUACGUAGGUGGCAAGCGUUAUCCGGAAUUAUUGGGCGUAAAGCGCGCGUAGGCGGUUUUUUAAGUCUGAUGUGAAAGCCCACGGCUCAACCGUGGAGGGUCAUUGGAAACUGGAAAACUUGAGUGCAGAAGAGGAAAGUGGAAUUCCAUGUGUAGCGGUGAAAUGCGCAGAGAUAUGGAGGAACACCAGUGGCGAAGGCGACUUUCUGGUCUGUAACUGACGCUGAUGUGCGAAAGCGUGGGGAUCAAACAGGAUUAGAUACCCUGGUAGUCCACGCCGUAAACGAUGAGUGCUAAGUGUUAGGGGGUUUCCGCCCCUUAGUGCUGCAGCUAACGCAUUAAGCACUCCGCCUGGGGAGUACGACCGCAAGGUUGAAACUCAAAGGAAUUGACGGGGACCCGCACAAGCGGUGGAGCAUGUGGUUUAAUUCGAAGCAACGCGAAGAACCUUACCAAAUCUUGACAUCCUUUGACAACUCUAGAGAUAGAGCCUUCCCCUUCGGGGGACAAAGUGACAGGUGGUGCAUGGUUGUCGUCAGCUCGUGUCGUGAGAUGUUGGGUUAAGUCCCGCAACGAGCGCAACCCUUAAGCUUAGUUGCCAUCAUUAAGUUGGGCACUCUAAGUUGACUGCCGGUGACAAACCGGAGGAAGGUGGGGAUGACGUCAAAUCAUCAUGCCCCUUAUGAUUUGGGCUACGCACGUGCUACAAUGGACAAUACAAAGGGCAGCGAAACCGCGAGGUCAAGCAAAUCCCAUAAAGUUGUUCUCAGUUCGGAUUGUAGUCUGCAACUCGACUACAUGAAGCUGGAAUCGCUAGUAAUCGUAGAUCAGCAUGCUACGGUGAAUACGUUCCCGGGUCU